rnacentral:rRNA from 1 species
GACGUAGGGCGCGAGCGUGUCCGGAUUUAUUGGGCGUAAAGAGCUCGUAGGCGGCUUGGCAAGUCGGGUGUGAAACCUCCAGCUCAACCUGGAGACGCCACCCGAUACUGCCAUGGCUAGAGUCCGGUAGGGGACCACGGAAUUCCUGGUGUAGCGGUGAAAUGCGCAGAUAUCAGGAGGAACACCGGUGGCGAAGGCGGUUCGUCUGGGCCGUACCUGACGCUGAGGAGCGAAAGCGUGGGGAGCAAACAGG